UGAUCAUGGCUCAGAUUGAACGCUGGCGGCAGGCUUAACACAUGCAAGUCGAGCGGUAGCACAGGGGAGCUUGCUCCCCGGGUGACGAGCGGCGGACGGGUGAGUAAUGUCUGGGAAACUGCCUGAUGGAGGGGGAUAACUACUGGAAACGGUAGCUAAUACCGCAUAACGUCGCAAGACCAAAGAGGGGGACCUUCGGGCCUCUUGCCAUCAGAUGUGCCCAGAUGGGAUUAGCUAGUAGGUGGGGUAAUGGCUCACCUAGGCGACGAUCCCUAGCUGGUCUGAGAGGAUGACCAGCCACACUGGAACUGAGACACGGUCCAGACUCCUACGGGAGGCAGCAGUGGGGAAUAUUGCACAAUGGGCGCAAGCCUGAUGCAGCCAUGCCGCGUGUGUGAAGAAGGCCUUCGGGUUGUAAAGCACUUUCAGCGAGGAGGAAGGUGGUGAGCUUAAUACGCUCAUCAAUUGACGUUACUCGCAGAAGAAGCACCGGCUAACUCCGUGCCAGCAGCCGCGGUAAUACGGAGGGUGCAAGCGUUAAUCGGAAUUACUGGGCGUAAAGCGCACGCAGGCG
rnacentral:rRNA from 1 species